rnacentral:RNase_P_RNA from 1 species
AAAGUUAAUUAGAUAAUCGCUAUUUAUUUAUUUUAAGUAGAGGAAAGUCCGGGCUCCAGAGUUCAAUGGCGCCAGAUAAUAACUGGAAGAUGUGAAUCUAUGAAAAGUGCAACAAGAAAUAUACCGCUUUUUUUUUUAAAAGUAAGGGUGAAAUUUGAUAAAGUAAGAUUUUAUCAUAAAAUUUGGUAACAAAUUUUAUAUGUAAACUCCGCCUGGAGAAAGGCUAAAAUAAAGGAUAGAACUCAUUUUUUUCCUUAAGGUAAGCUGAUUGAGCUAAUAUAUGAAUAUUAGCCUAGAUAAAUGAUUAUCCUAGACAGAAUCCGGCUUAUAUAUUAACUUAAAUU